AAAUUAAUAGAAACAUGAAGGAACAUGUUAAUGUAAUGCUAUGUCUAAGAAACAAUAUAAUUCAUUUGAUAUAUUUUAGAUAGCAUUGUCAUUAAUUAAUUUUGGUAUUGUUAUGUUGAACAAAUGAUGUUCUGUAUAUCCGAGACAAAGACAGAUGACAGAUGUAGAUGCAUACAUUGUUUUGUUUGUUUAUUUGAACACAGGGGGGAAGUUAGUUUGAUUUUUUU